UUAAACUGAAGAGUUUGAUCCUGGCUCAGAUUGAACGCUGGCGGCAUGCCUUACACAUGCAAGUCGAACGGCAGCACGGGUGCUUGCACCUGGUGGCGAGUGGCGAACGGGUGAGUAAUACAUCGGAACAUGUCCUGUAGUGGGGGAUAGCCCGGCGAAAGCCGGAUUAAUACCGCAUACGAUCCAUGGAUGAAAGCGGGGGACCUUCGGGCCUCGCGCUAUAGGG
rnacentral:rRNA from 1 species